rnacentral:rRNA from 1 species
AUUGAACGCUGGCGGCAGGCUUAACACAUGCAAGUCGAGCGAGCGGCGGACGGGUGAGUCAUGUCUGGGAAACUGCCUGCUUGGGGGGGAUAACUACUGGAAACGGUAGCUAAUACCGCAUACCAUCAGCUGUGCCCAGAUGGGAUUAGCUAGGAGGGGGGGUAAUGGCUCACCUAGGCGACGAUCCCUAGCUGGUCUGAGAGGAUGGUCAGCCACACUGGAGCGUAGACAGGGUCCAGGGGCCUAAGGGACGCAGCAGAGGCGAAUAUGGCACAAUGGGCGCAAGCCUGAUGCAGCGAUGCCGAGUGUGUGAAGGAGGCCUUGGGGUUGUAAAGCACUUCUACCGAGGAGGCGGUACUCGCAGAAGAAGCACCGGCUAACUCCGUGCCAGCAGCCGCGGUAAUAC